CUGUCCUCAGGUUGAAAUAUAAAGAAAAGGAAAUAUGUAUUUAAAUUGUGUUUUCUACAACUUUGAUUCUUUAUGAUAUACUGUUUAUUGCAAAAGAAAAGAGACCUGUAUUUUGUAAGGUAAAGGAUGAGCUUUUAUUUUGAAUGACGUUUCUGUUUACAUCUGAGUGUUCCCAUGAGCCUCCGGUCUGAACUUGCUAGAAUGUAAGAUUCACGCAGUACUUCAGUUGCUAUCACUGUCAGUAAUGUGAUGUUCCUGAUAUUUCGCUCUUCAAGUUUUGUACUCCACACACACCCAUGGCAGCAAUGUCUUUUUACUCGCUUUUCACCUGCUACACUGGAAAAUAAAAGGAGCAAGGCGCUCGCUUCCUGGCUCGUUGAAAACGA